rnacentral:rRNA from 1 species
UGGGGAAUAUUGGACAAUGGGGGCAACCCUGAUCCAGCCAUGCCGCGUGAGUGAUGAAGGCCUUCGGGUUGUAAAGCUCUUUUGGCGGGGACGAUGAUGACGGUACCCGCAGAAUAAGCCCCGGCUAACUUCGUGCCAGCAGCCGCGGUAAGACGAAGGGGGCUAGCGUUGUUCGGAAUUACUGGGCGUAAAGCGAGUGUAGGCGGUUGCCGUAGUCAGGUGUGAAAGCCUUGAGCUCAACUCAAGAAAUGCACUUGAUACUGGGUGACUAGAGGACCGGAGAGGAUAGUGGAAUUCCCAGUGUAGUGGUGAAAUACGUAGAGAUUGGGAAGAACACCAGUGGCGAAGGCGGCUAUCUGGACGGUUACUGACGCUAAGACUCGAAAGCGUGGGGAGCAAACAGGAUUAGAUACCCUGGUAGUCCACGCCGUAAACGAUGGGUGCUAGACGUUGGCGAGCUUGCUCGUCAGUGUCGCAGCUAACGCGUUAAGCACCCCCGCCUGGGGAGUACGGCCGCAAGGUUGAAANUCAAAAGGAAUUGCGGGGUCUAGCUGUUUCCU